UAUCCUGAUGGUAGUAACUCCAGUGAAUAUCUGGUGCAGCCGACCACGUACCUCCCUGAGAACUUCACCUACGCCCAGAACCUCCCCUGCCCAGAGCGAUUACCUUCUAUGAAGGGCCUUAUGGAAGUGAACAUGACAGAGAUCCCUAUGGAGGAGA